AUUGAACGCUGGCGGCGUGCCUAACACAUGCAAGUCAAGGCGGUAGCAAUACCGACUGGCGCACGGGUGCGGAACACGUAGGUAAUCUGCCCAUCAGGGGAGAACAACUCGCCGAAAGGCGAGCUAAAUCUCCGUAACAUCUAAUCAUGGCAUCAUGAUUUGAUCAAGCUUUCUGAUGGAUGAGCCUGCGUCUGAUUAGCUAGUUGGUAGUGUAAUGGACUACCAAGGCUACGAUCAGUAGCUGGUCUGAGAGGAUGAUCAGCCACAUUGGGACUGAGACACGGCCCAGACUCCUACGGGAGGCAGCAGUGAGGAAUAUUGCUCAAUGGACGAAAGUCUGAAGCAGCAACGCCGCGUGAGGGAUGAAGGUGCUCUGCAUUGUAAACCUCUGUAGUCGGGGACAAAAACGGGUUAUUACCCGUCUGAUGGUACCCGAAAAGUAAGGAUCGGCUAACUACGUGCCAGCCGCCGCGGUAAUUC
rnacentral:rRNA from 1 species